UACGGGGGGAGCAAGCGUUGUUCGGAUUUACUGGGCGUAAAGGGCGCGUAGGCGGCCAGCACAAGUCAGUUGUGAAAUCUCCGAGCUUAACUCGGAACGGUCAACUGAUACUGUGCGGCUAGAGUGCGGAAGGGGCAACUGGAAUUCUUGGUGUAGCGGUGAAAUGCGUAGAUAUCAAGAGGAACACCUGCGGCGAAGGCGGGUUGCUGGGUCGACACUGACGCUGAGGCGCGAAAGCGUGGGGAGCAAACAGG
rnacentral:rRNA from 1 species